AAAUUGAAGAGUUUGAUCAUGGCUCAGAUUGAACGCUGGCGGCAGGCCUAACACAUGCAAGUCGAACGGUAACAGGAAGCAGCUUGCUGCUUUGCUGACGAGUGGCGGACGGGUGAGUAAUGUCUGGGAAACUGCCUGAUGGAGGGGGGAUAACUACUGGAAACGGUAGCUAAUACCGCAUAACGUCGCAAGACCAAAGAGGGGGACCUUCGGGCCUCUUGCCAUCGGAUGUGCCCAGAUGGGAUUAGCUAGUAGGUGGGGUAACGGCUCACCUAGGCGACGAUCCCUAGCUGGUCUGAGAGGAUGACCAGCCACACUGGAACUGAGACACGGUCCAGACUCCUACGGGAGGCAGCAGUGGGGAAUAUUGCACAAUGGGCGCAAGCCUGAUGCAGCCAUGCCGCGUGUAUGAAGAAGGCCUUCGGGUUGUAAAGUACUUUCAGCGGGGAGGAAGGCGAUAAGGUUAAUAACCUUGUCGAUUGACGUUACCCGCAGAAGAAGCACCGGCUAACUCCGUGCCAGCAGCCGCGGUAAUACGGAGGGUGCAAGCGUUAAUCGGAAUUACUGGGCGUAAAGCGCACGCAGGCGGUCUGUCAAGUCGGAUGUGAAAUCCCCGGGCUCAACCUCGGGAACUGCAUUCGAAACUGGCAGGCUAGAGUCUUGUAGAGGGGGGUAGAAUUCCGGUGUAGCGGUGAAAUGCGUAGAGAUCUGGAGGAAUACCGGUGGCGAAGGCGGCCCCCUGGACAAAGACUGACGCUCAGGUGCGAAAGCGUGGGGAGCAAACAGGAUUAGAUACCCUCGGUAGUCCACGCCGUAAACGAUGUCGACUUGGAGGUUGUGCCCUUGAGGCGUGGCUUCCGGAGCUAACGCGUUAAGUCGACCGCCACCGGGGAGUACGGCCGCAAGGUUAAAACUCAAAUGAAUUGACGGGGGCCCGCACAAGCGGUGGAGCAUGUGGUUUAAUUCGAUGCAACGCGAAGAACCUUACCUACUCUUGACAUCCAGAGAACUUUCCAGAGAUGGAUUGGUGCCUUCGGGAACUCUGAGACAGGUGCUGCAUGGCUGUCGUCAGCUCGUGUUGUGAAAUGUUGGGUUAAGUCCCGCAACGAGCGCAACCCUUAUCCUUUGUUGCCAGCGGUUAGGCCGGGAACUCAAAGGAGACUGCCAGUGAUAAACUGGAGGAAGGUGGGGAUGACGUCAAGUCAUCAUGGCCCUUACGAGUAGGGCUACACACGUGCUACAAUGGCGCAUACAAAGAGAAGCGACCUCGCGAGAGCAAGCGGACCUCAUAAAGUGCGUCGUAGUCCGGAUUGGAGUCUGCAACUCGACUCCAUGAAGUCGGAAUCGCUAGUAAUCGUGGAUCAGAAUGCCACGGUGAAUACGUUCCCGGGCCUUGUACACACCGCCCGUCACACCAUGGGAGUGGGUUGCAAAAGAAGUAGGUAGCUUAACCUUCGGGAGGGCGCUUACCACUUUGUGAUUCAUGACUGGGGUGAAGUCGUAACAAGGUAACCGUAGGGGAACCUGCGGUUGGAUCACCUCCUUA
rnacentral:rRNA from 1 species